GAAAAGCUAAACUAUGGGUUUCCGUGUACAACUUGACUGUCCGUCUUAUGUGAAAUUUUUUUAUAAUUCGUAUUUUUAUUGUUGUUAGAUGAUAAAACAUGAUUAAUAUUUUAUGCGUGACUUGUCUUUUUGAUUUUUUUUUUCAUAAUUCUUUUAAAUAAGACGGACGGUCAAACAUUGGGCACGAAAAUCAGGGUUUGUCUUUUU
rfam:Oryza glaberrima chromosome 1 Oglab01_0032_15, whole genome shotgun sequence.